ACACUAUUAACAGCAAUUAUGCAAUCAAACUUAUAGCAAAAUGUGGUAGUUCUGUAUGUUGUCUCUGGGUUAGCAUCAUCUGAGGUCCUCUGAGGGGUUGGCAUCAUCUCUUCUCAGGUGUUCUGGAUCCAGACUGGAGCUUGUGUAAAUCCUAGUUACCACGGGAUGUAAAUCCCGUGGCAAAGCAGAGAAACAAAUAGAGACAUAAUUAGCGUAGCUGCUGUUCCAGCCAAGUAAAAUUAAUUAGUUUAACCCAAGCUAAAGAAUAAUAAUGCACAUUUGAUCAGAUAUAACUGCAGUCCAAAAUUAUGAGAUGCAUUAUUUGAAUGCUUGGCCAAAGAGGUGUGUUUUUAAUCUAGAUUUAAACAGAGAGAGUGUGUCUGAGCCCCGAACAUUAUCAGGAAGGCUAUUCCAGAGUUUGGGAGCCAAAUGCGAAAAAGCUCUACCUCCUUUAGUGGACUUUGCUAUCCUAGGUACUAUCAAAAGUCCAGCGUUUUGUGACCUUAGGGAUCGUGAUGGGUUGUAGCGUGGUAGAAGACUAGUUAGGUACGCAGGAGCUAAGCCAUUAAGGGCCUUAUAAGUAAGUAAUAAUAUUUUGUAACUGAUACGGAACUUAAUAGGUAGCCAGUGCAGAGACUGUAGUAUUGGGGUAAUAUGAUCAUAUUUUCUUGAUAUGUUUGUUCUCUUUCUAGCUGUCGAAGAUCCUGAACCACCAAGCCCAAAGGAGAUCUUACAAAGUAAGAGAAACACAUAUAUUAUUCACAGAUAUCUGAAAUCUAUAUGUAUAUUGAGUAUAUUUACACUAUUUUGUAUAUAAUUGCAGAGUCUGGCUGUUUGAACAAGGUGGAACCAUCUGUAUCUCCAAAAGGAGAUGAGGUACAGCAUUGCCCUCGUCAGAUUCACUUGGGUGAAGGCGUUCGAGUGCGUAGAGAGGCCUGGUCAAGGAUACAAAACAACAUGCGGGAUUCCUUAUUUGUGAAGGAGUUGGCAGUGGCAAUCUGGGGAACUAAGGCUCUGUGGGAAAGAAGUCUCACAGGGAAGGAAUGCGCAACGACCAAAACAACCAAGCAGCGUUUAACCCCCCAGAAACUUCAGACAUUAAAAGGUAUUGCGUGUAUAUGAGAGGGAGUCGACAUGUACACCUGGAUUUGAGUCGGAGUUAUUCGUUUUUAAAGUGCACAGAGAUCACCUUUACAGGGGGGAAAGACUAGGAAGAGGUAGGCUGUUUUCACAUCUCAUUAAAACGCUAAAGCAGCCGAACGUUGUUUAAAAAAAUUAUAAUAUUAAAAUAUUUUUAAACAAAGCAAAGUACACUUACAAGGCCGGUUUCAAAAACGCUAUAACGUUAGUCUAUGUUUAUGCUUAUGUUAAAUCUGGUCUCACCAUAAAGGCUUAGUUCACCCAAAAAUGAAAAUUCUGUCAUUAAAUUACUCACCCUCAUGUCGUUUCAAACCCGUGAGACCUUCGUUCAUCUUCGGAACACAAAUUAAGAUAUUUUCGAUGGAAUCUGAGAGCUGUCUGUCCCUACAUAGACAACAACGCAACUGAAAUUCUGAAAGUCCGGAAAUGUAGCAAGGAGAUCUGUGAAUUAAUCCAUGUGACAUCAGUGGUUCAUCUCCAAUUAUACAAAGCUACUAGAAUACAUUUUGUGCACACACACACACACACACAAAAAAACUACUUUAUUCAACAAUUUGUCUCCUCCACAUCACCCUGGUGCCAUUUUAGAGAAUAUCUGCUGGACCUAUGCUGUUCUGUGUCAGAACGGCAUACGUCGGAA
ensembl:lncRNA